rnacentral:rRNA from 1 species
UACGAAGGGGGCUAGCGUUGCUCGGAAUUACUGGGCGUAAAGCGCACGUAGGCGGCUUUCUAAGUCGGGGGGUGAAAUCCUGGAGCUCAACUCCAGAACUGCCUUCGAUACUGGAGAGCUCGAGUCCGGGAGAGGUGAGUGGAACUGCGAGUGUAGAGGUGAAAUUCGUAGAUAUUCGCAAGAACACCAGUGGCGAAGGCGGCU